GGGGGGGUUCCCGAGUGGUCAAAGGGGGCAGACUGUAAAUCUGUUGGCUGACGCCUUCGAAGGUUCGAAUCCUUCCCCCCCCACCA
rnacentral:tRNA from 1 species